AACGAACGCUGGCGGCAUGCCUAACACAUGCAAGUCGAACGAGACCUUCGGGUCUAGUGGCGCACGGGUGCGUAACGCGUGGGAAUCUGCCCUGGGGUGCGGAAUAACUCGGAGAAAUCCGUGCUAAUACCGCAUAAUGUCUUCGGACCAAAGAUUUAUCGCCCUGGGAUGAGCCCGCGUAGGAUUAGCUAGUUGGUGGGUAAAGGCCUACCAAGGCGACGAUCCUUAGCUGGUCUGAGAGGAUGAUCAGCCACACUGGGACUGAGACACGGCCCAGACUCCUACGGGAGGCAGCAGUGGGGAAUAUUGGACAAUGGGCGAAAGCCUGAUCCAGCAAUGCCGCGUGAGUGAUGAAGGCCCUAGGGUUGUAAAGCUCUUUACCCGGGAUGAUAAUGACAGUACCGGAGAAUAAGCUCCGGCUAACGUCCGUGUCCAGCAGCCG
rnacentral:rRNA from 1 species